GCAGGCUGCCGCAACCUGAUUCGCUGGUGCCUGAGUGUGAAACCUGAGAAACGGCCAACCCUGGAGCAGAUCCUGCUCCACCCCUGGAUGGAGUAGGGGGUGUGGCUCGGCCCAGACUGGAUGAAGUGCUGGACAGGGGCCCAGAAGAACAUCAAUCUGGUCUGGGCCAAAUUUUCCUGGGCAGCCCCUGGGGGAGGGGGAUGGGAGUAGGCUGUCAGGAAGGCCGAGGGAUCUGAGCAGAGGUCCCUUGCUUCCUGUGUGUCCUCCCUCGCCUCCCUGACAACCACAUCACCCUUCCCUGGCAACCGCCUCACCUCUCUGGCAACCAGCUUUACUGCCACUGGCAACUGGUGCUCUCCUCCCUAAGCCUACCCUCCACGCCAUGCUACCUCAACGAAGCCACACCCCUCUACCCCAGCUGCUCCCAGCGCCCCCCUUGUGGUCACAAGGAACAUUCCAACACCGGGACUCAGAGGGGUCUGUAAGCAUCGUGAUACCUGUUAGUGCCAUGACAACUGUCCUGGAAUGGCCUCUGCUCGACCGGUGUACAUCGCACUGAUCAUCAGAUACUCAGCCCCUGCAGUGUGCUGCGUUGGGGGAAAGAGGUGCAGACCCCCCAGAUACUCUGGGAUUUCUCACAGAAACAGCUGGACACCCCUGUGUGGCGUCCACACGCCCCGUCUACACACCACACUGUCUGCACCCUGGUCCAAAUAGUGGGCAUGACACCCUUUUCAGUAAAGCACAAAUAACUGGCCUCCUUCAACAAAACAAGUAGUGGGAGAGAAUUGUGACCAGA